rnacentral:rRNA from 1 species
CCUACGGGGGGCAGCAGUGGGGGAUUUUGCACAAUGGGCGCAAGCCUGAUGCAGCGACGCCGCGUGAGGGAUGGAGGCCUUCGGGUUGUGAACCUCUGUCGCCGGUGAUGUAGGCUCUGCUUUGUGGGUGGGGUUGACGGUAGCCGGGGUAUGAAGUGCCGGCUAACUACGUGCCAGCAGCCGCGGUAAUACGUAGGGCGCGAGCGUUGUCCGGAAUUAUUGGGCGUAAAGAGCUCGUAGGCGGCUGGUCGCGUCUGUCGUGAAAUCCUCUGGCUUAACUGGGGGCGUGCGGUGGGUACGGGCCGGCUUGAGUGCGGUAGGGGAGGCUGGAAUUCCUGGUGUAGCGGUGGAAUGCGCAGAUAUCAGGAGGAACACCGGUGGCGAAGGCGGGUCUCUGGGCCGUGUACUGAC